rnacentral:rRNA from 1 species
UGUAUGAAGUUGGAAUCGCUAGUAAUCGCGGAUCAGCAUGCCGCGGUGAAUACGUUCCCGGGGCCUUGUACACACCGCCCGUCACACCAUGAGAGUCGGGAACACCCGAAGUCCGUAGCCUAACAGCAAUGGGGGCGCGGCCGAAGGUGGGUUCGAUAAUUGGGGUGAAGUCGUAACAAGGUAUC